rnacentral:lncRNA from 1 species
UGGGCGGGCGAGGCGCGGAACGCACCCAUGUUCCCGGCGAGCACGUUCCACCCCUGCCCGCAUCCUUAUCCGCAGGCCACCAAAGCCGGGGAUGGCUGGAGGUUCGGAGCCAGGGGCUGCCGACCCGCGCCCCCCUCCUUCCUCCCCGGCUACAGACAGCUCAUGGCCGCGGAGUACGUCGACCGCCACCAGCGGGCACAGCUCAUGGCCCUGCUGUCGCGGAUGGGUCCCCGGUCGGUCAGCAGCCGUGACGCUGCGGUGCAGGUGAACCCGCGCCGCGACGCCUCGGUGCAGUGUUCACUCGGGCGCCGCACGCUGCAGCCUGCAGGGUGCCGAGCCAGCCCCGACGCCCGGUCGGGUUCCUGUCAACCCCGUGGCCACGCCGGCGCCGGGAGAUCCCCGCGAUCCUGGCAGACCGUCGCCCCGUUCUCGUCCGUGACUUCUGUGGCCUCUCCUCGCUGGAGGUUGCGGGGGCAGGCAGACACCCAGGAAGGGAGAGGGGAGCCCGGCAUCCUCGGAGACCCGGGAACCGGAGCCGAGAGAGGUGGCCGUGAGGAAAGCGGUCCCCCAGCCGCGAAGCGAGGAGGGCGACGUCCAGGCUGAAGGGCAGGCCGGGUGGGAGCAGCAGCCACCACCGGAGGACCGGAACAGUGUGGUGGUGAUGCAGUCUGAGCCUGGGAGUGAGGAGCUGUGUCCUGCUGCAGAGAUGGCUCAGGACCCCGGUGACUCGGAUGCCCCUCCCCGCAAAGCACCAAGCAGGACAAGGAGCUCCUGCGUUUCCAGUUCUUAGAGCAGAAGUACGGCUACUAUCACUGCAAGGACUGCAAAAUCCGGUGGGAGAGCGCCUAUGUGUGGUGUGUGCAGGGCACCAGUAAGGUGUACUUCAAAGAGUUCUGCCGAGUGUGUGAGAAAUCCUACAACCCUUACAGAGUGGAGGACGUCACCUGUCAAAGUUGUAAAGGAACUAGAUGUGCCUGCCCAGUCAGACCUCGCCACGUGUACCUUAGACGCCCCCAUCAGCAACACUUGUGUGAGAGAUGCAAGGACAAAUGCUUGUCCUGCGACAGCACCGUCAGCUUCAAAUACAUGAUUUAGCGAGAGUUGAAAACGUUUCUGCUAGAUGGGGCUAAUGGAGUGGACAAGUGAGCUUUCUCCCCUCUUCACCUUUCCAAAUUCUUCAUGAAAGACAGUGUACUUGGAUAUAAAGCCUGCGAAUAAAAGGUAUUGCAAGCAA